rnacentral:rRNA from 1 species
UACGUAGGGUGCAAGCGUUGUCCGGAAUUAUUGGGCGUAAAGAGCUCGUAGGCGGUCUGUCGCGUCUGGUGUGAAAAUCCAGGGCUUAACCCUGGACCUGCAUCGGGUACGGGCAGACUAGAGUGUGGUAGGGGAGAUCGGAAUUCCUGGUGUAGCGGUGAAAUGCGCAGAUAUCAGGAGGAACACCGAUGGCGAAGGCAGGUCACUGGGCCGCAACUGACGCUGAGGAGCGAAAGCAUGGGGAGCGAACAGG